UACGUAGGGCGCAAGCGUUGUCCGGAAUUAUUGGGCGUAAAGAGCUCGUAGGCGGUUUGUCGCGUCUGCUGUGAAAGCCCGGGGCUCAACCCCGGGUCUGCAGUGGGUACGGGCAGACUAGAGUGCGGUAGGGGAGAUUGGAAUUCCUGGUGUAGCGGUGGAAUGCGCAGAUAUCAGGAGGAACACCGAUGGCGAAGGCAGAUCUCUGGGCCGUAACUGACGCUGAGGAGCGAAAGCGUGGGGAGCGAACAGG
rnacentral:rRNA from 1 species